rnacentral:rRNA from 1 species
CCUAACACAUGCAAGUCGAGCGGCAGCGGGAAGUAGCUUGCUACUUUGCCGGCGAGCGGCGGACGGGUGAGUAAUGUCUGGGAAACUGCCUGAUGGAGGGGGAUAACUACUGGAAACGGUAGCUAAUACCGCAUGACCUCGCAAGAGCAAAGUGGGGGACCUUCGGGCCUCACGCCAUCGGAUGUGCCCAGAUGGGAUUAGCUAGUAGGUGAGGUAAUGGCUCACCUAGGCGACGAUCCCUAGCUGGUCUGAGAGGAUGACCAGCCACACUGGAACUGAGACACGGUCCAGACUCCUACGGGAGGCAGCAGUGGGGAAUAUUGCACAAUGGGCGCAAGCCUGAUGCAGCCAUGCCGCGUGUGUGAAGAAGGCCUUAGGGUUGUAAAGCACUUUCAGCGAGGAGGAAGGGUUCAGUGUUAAUAGCACUGUGCAUUGACGUUACUCGCAGAAGAAGCACCGGCUAAC